GCGACGCGGAGGGGGCGGAGUCUUUCGAUGCUGCAGGUGAGAGGGAACGCCCACCCUCACUCUCGUACCCGGAAGUCUCCUCCUCCUCCGUGCUGCUGCCGAAGCCUGGUUCAGAUGCUGUGAGGAAAAAAAGACAUAAACAAGCCCGGAAGACUCUCAGAAGCUGUGCCGGACGUGCUGGGCCCCUCCUGUCCAGAAGGGACCCAAGAGGUCGAUGGAUGCGUUGCCGUUGAGCUACACGAGGCCUGGCUGCUUUGAGAGAGCCAUUCGAUGGAAAAGUGACCCUUCAUCUCCACGGAUAUGUCCAAAUUCAGCAAAGAACGGAAAAUAUCCAGCAAUCUUCGUUUUUUUAAAGGGCACGGUGGCUGAACACAACCAGCUGUGCUGUAUCCACACAUCAACAUCGCAUGACUGGAAAAUAAACACAGCAUGGACAUUUGCAUAUCAUUGAUACUCAGGUUUGUGAACACAACCGGCUUCAGAAAUUUUAUUCACAUCAAGAGUCAUUAGGUGAUUACAGUCUAAAAAGGCUGGGUUGUUUCAACCUUUGAUUGGGUAAAUAUUGGACAGAACCAAGUAAAUAAAUAAAUAAACCUAUGCUGGGUUGUUUCAACAUUCCAUGGAACCAGGAUAGGUUUACUUAUAACCCAACAGUUGGUUUAGUCCAACACUGUAAAAAGUGAAAAGUUGGAUUACCUCAUUAUUUCAACUUAUUUGUUUAAGUUUAAAAUACUUUAAGUGAAAAAUUGAAGUGGAAAAAAACUACAAAUUUUUACCAAUUGAAGUAAUUUUUUCUGUCAGUAUUUACCCAACCAUAAGUUAAACCAACCCAGAGUGUGUAAAAUAUGGACAAACCCAAACAAUGGUUUAAUUUAACCUAUGUUGGGUUGUUUCAACCCAUGGUUGGGUCACAUAUGGAAUUUUUUUUAGGUUUGUUUAACCCAAUUUGUUAAUAUUACAACCAACCAUGGGCCAACACAACUAGGUUCAGUAACUUUAUUCCCUAAAAUGACAAGAGUCAUUUGGUGCUUGUACAUGCAAAACAUCUGGUUUGUUUCAACCUUAUUUGGUGGUUUAACCCACAGUUGGGUAAGUAUUGGACAGAACCAAGCAUUGGGUUAAACCAACCCAAUAUUUUUAAAGUGCAAGACAAACCCAACCAUAUUAACUUAUGCUGGGCUGUUUCAACCCAUGGUUGGAUCCAAUAUGGACAUUUUCUAGGUAUAUUUAACUCAAUGGUUGGGUGUGUCUAUAUUUUACUUAACCAUUGGCCAACACAACUGGGUUUAGAAACUUAUUUCCCUAAAAUGACAAGAGUCAUUUUGUGCUUGUACAUGCUAAAAGAAUCUGGGUUGUUUCAACCCAUCGUUUGGUCAAAUAUGUGCAUUUUCUAGGUUUAUGUAACCCAAUUGUUAGGUUUGUUAAUAUUACACCCAACCAUGGGCCAACACAACUGGGUUUAGAAAAUUUAAUUCCUAGUGUUUGUAGUAAAAAGGCAUGUUUUUCAACAUUAAAUGGUUGUUUAACCCACAGUUGGGUAAAUAUUGGACAAAACCAAGCGUUGGGUUAUAAAUAAACCUAUGCUGGGGUUUUUAACCCAAAUGCUAAGUUGUUUCAUCCCAUGGUUGGGUAACAACAACCCAGUAUAGGUUUACUUAUAACGCAACAGUUGGUUCUAUCCCAUAUUUACCCAACAAUAGGUUAAACCAACCCACAUAUUUUAGAGUGCAUGUAAGAUAUAGACAAACCCAACCAUUGGUUCAUAUUAACUUAUGCUGGGUUGUUCCAUAUAGUUGUAUUUAACUCAAUGGUUGGGUUUGUCUAUAUUUUACUUAACCAUGGGCCAACACAAUCUGAGAAACUUUAUUCCCUAAAAUGACAAGUGUCAUUUUGUGCUUGUACACGAAAAAAAAAUCUGGGUUUUUUCAACCUUAUUUGGUGGUUUAACCCACAGUUGGGUAAGUAUUGGACAGAACCAAGCAUUGGGUAAUAAAUAAACCUAUGCUGGGGUUUUUUAACCCAAAUGCUGAGUUGUUUCAUCCCAUGGCCAGGUAAUAACACCCCAGCAUAGGUCUACUUAUAACCCAACAGUUGGUUCUAUCCCAUAUUUACUCAACCAUUGGUUAAACCAACCCAAUAUUUUUAAAUUGCAAGACAAACCCAACCAUAUUAACUUCAUAAUUCAUAUUAACUUAUGCUGGGUUGUUUCAACCCAUGGUUGGAUU